rnacentral:rRNA from 1 species
CGGAAAGGAGGAGUGGCGAACGGGUGAGUAGCACGUGGGUAACCUGCCCAUCAGAAGGGGAUAACACUUGGAAACAGGUGCUAAUACCGUAUAACAAUCGAAACCGCAUGGUUUUGAUUUGAAAGGCGCUUUCGGGUGUCGCUGAUGGAUGGACCCGCGGUGCAUUAGCUAGUUGGUGAGGUAACGGCUCACCAAGGCCACGAUGCAUAGCCGACCUGAGAGGGUGAUCGGCCACAUUGGGACUGACACACGGCCCAAACUCCUACGGGAGGCAGCAGUAGGGAAUCUUCGGCAAUGGACGAAAGUCUGACCGAGCAACGCCGCGUGAGUGAAGAAGGUUUUCGGAUCGUAAAACUCUGUUGUUAGAGAAGAACAGGGAUGAGAGUAACUGUUCAUCCCUUGACGGUAUCUAACCAGAAAGCCACGGCUAACUACGUGCCAGCAGCCGCGGUAAUACGUAGGUGGCAAGCGUUGUCCGGAUUUAUUGGGCGUAAAGCGAGCGCACGCGGUUUCUUAAGUCUGAUGUGAAAGCCCCCGGCUCAACCGGGGAGGGUCAUUGGAAACUGGGAGACUUGAGUGCAGAAGAGGAGAGUGGAAUUCCAUGUGUAGCGGUGAAAUGCGUAGAUAUAUGGGAGGCACACCAGUGGUCAAGGCGGCUCUCUGGUCUGUAACUGACGCUGAGGCUCGAAAGCGUGGGGAGCCAACGGGAUUAGAUACCCUGAUAGUCCACCGCCGAAAACGAUGAGUGCUAAGUGUUGGAGGGUUUCCC